AUUCUAGAGAUGGUUCAGGUCAUCCCCUGCCAUCAUAAAGUCCCUGCUAUCUCCACUGCCAUCCACUGAGAAGCUCCUCACAUGCAGCUGUCACCAGGGGUUUCCCAGAGCUGUCCAGUAACAUGAAGCAAAGGUUCAGGGGUAAUAUCACAACAUGGAGCAGACACAGGAGAGAUAUGAAACUGGAAAGAAUCAGUGGGUGAAAGGUUUGUCCUUUCUCCCACUCCCGUGGACUCUCCUGAGAUGCAGUAGAUGGCCUCCAGAAGCUGUCCCACCAGACAAAGCAGCCAUCUGUGCCUCUGUGAAGCUGUGGUUAACCUGAUGAACUGCCCUUGAAUGUGAGAAAAUGAGAUUACUGGCCAAGCUGCAUCAGAUGAUGUUGAUGGGGAGAGAAAGAUCCAAAAUCUCAGAAGGUUGUCAGAGUGGGGACAUUCUGGAGGAAGAGAGGAUAAAGGAAGAAAGAAAGCAGGAGGGAGCUGGCAACAGAAUUGACUUACUUUCUAGUCAUGUCUGAACCUUCGAAGAAAGAAGACAGAUAGAAGAAGGAAUACUAAUGCUUCAAGAAGGUAGGAGCCUGUCAGACUGUGUUCCAUCUUGGGCUUGAAACUAGAGACCAAAACCUGAAUAUUGGGGAAAAAAGAAAAGAUGGGUGCUCUUGAGAAGACUAAAAGAUGCGCAUACCUUCCACCCUGCCAUUAGUCUUGUGGGAAGUGUGGAUCACCUGUUGAGGCUCUGAAACUUGGGUCUGUGUUUCUCUGCAAAGGAAUGCCAAGAAUGUCCAAGUGAAAAAAAUAGACAGAGAAAAGAACUACUUCUGGAAGGGCAGGAAAACUUAAGGGUAGGCAAAUGGGAGUAAAUCAUUCUUUAGCUAACAUAUUGGGAAAAUCAUUAAAGAGAAAGAACAUUUUUAACUGGCAGGUUACAAAAUAAAUUUUUAUUUUUAUUUACAACCCUUUACUCAAACACUUUGUGGAAGAAAUGUUCAAAAUUGGAUCUACAUUGAGCCACAGGCAAAGAGGUUAGAGUGGUUUUUAUCUUUUUCAGCAAAAAUAAGACUUAGAAAUGAUAAGUAACCCAAAGUGUGAAUAUGAUUGCCCUCCAUGCUUUUUCUCCAAAUAUGAAUCUCAUUUGGCUACCAUUAUUUUCCUGUCUUGAUGAGAUAUCUUCCAUUUAUUCAUUCUUUGAUUCAUUUCUGUUUAGAAUAGACAUUGGAUGUAUUGCUAUAAUCAUUCAAGCCCAGUAGCAAACAGUAUACUAUAAUCUCUCACAUUGCAGUCCCAGGCAGGGAGGAAGUUCUGACAACCUGAAUGCUGCUGUUCAGAAGGUCUCCCUGGAAGGAAAAAAUGCCAACAGCGUGUCUAACCACAAAGAGAGCAGAAGCCUUCCAAAAGCUACAGAAGAAGAGACAAGGUUCCCUCUCUCAACUCAAGUUAAAGACACUUCCAUCAAAAAGGCAUUUCUAAAGGAUUUUGCAGUGAUUUAUUGAGAUUUUCCCCCCAAGAAACCCCAAAUCAGAAGGUUUUGAUCUAUUAAAGCAAUAUAAAACAUGGUGUCAGUAAAAUUUCUGGUGAAAUAUUUCCUGAAACUAGCUAGUAAUCAAAAUUCAAAUGUCACCAAAUGGAGGCGGGGGAAUAGUCUACCUGUGCACCUCUUGCACUAAUUUAACUAGAGGUUCUUUCCUGUUUAUCUGGGUACCCAGCUCUGGAAGUGCUGUUUGGAAUACUAGGUGUUUGAGGCCCACAGAAUGAAGUUCAAACUCUGCCUCUGUGUAUAAUAACUAAACAUGGGGAAGUUAUUUCACACCUUUGACACUUUCGCAUCUAUAAAAUAAGGAUGACAAAAUUCACUUAAUGAGAUGGUUGCAUGGAUUACAUAAUAUACAUUGCCAAGUUAUAGCACAGCGUUUAGCAUACCACUCAAUCAAGUGCAGGUGGUUAACUUUUAUUAAUCAAUUUGUGUUGUCUAAAUAUUUUUUUGUUCUAUAAGACAUGAAACAAUGAAUACAGUUAUGUUUGAAAUUAUUUUAUAUGUUCAAAACUUUCAGCCAAUUUUACAUGAUUAAUUGACCUGUGAUAUCUAAAAAAGAAAAUUGUCUCUUUGUUUAAAAC
rnacentral:lncRNA from 1 species